UACGUAGGGUGCGAGCGUUGUCCGGAAUUACUGGGCGUAAAGCGCACGUAGGCGGCUUUGUAAGUUAGAGGUGAAAGCCCGGGGCUCAACUCCGGAAUUGCCUUUAAGACUGCAUCGCUCGAAUUGUGGAGAGGUAAGUGGAAUUCCGAGUGUAGAGGUGAAAUUCGUAGAUAUUCGGAAGAACACCAGUGGCGAAGGCGACUUACUGGACACAUAUUGACGCUGAGGUGCGAAAGCGUGGGGAGCAAACAGG
rnacentral:rRNA from 1 species